AAAGUCCCCUUCGGGGGAUAAGUAAAGUGGCGUCCGGGUGAGUAACACGUAGGUAAUCUACCUUCGGGUGGGGAAUAACCCAGGGAAACUUGGGCUAACACCGCAUAAUGCAGCGGCACCACAUGGUGACAGUUGUUAAAGCGGGGGAUUUUAGGACCUCGCGCCUGAAGAGGAGCCUGCGGCGGAUUAGCUAGUUGGUAAGGUAACGGCUUACCAAGGCGACGAUCCGUAGCCGGCCUGAGAGGGCGGUCGGCCACACUGACACUGACAUACGGGUCAGACUCCUACGGGAGGCAGCAGUCGGGAAUUUUGGGCAAUGGGCGAAAGCCUGACCCAGCAACGCCGCGUGAAGGAUGAAAUCCUUCGGGAUGUAAACUUCGCAAGAAUGGGAAGAAUUAGCGAGCGCUAAUACCGCUCGUGAUGACGGUACCAUUUGUAAGCUCCGGCUAACUCCGUGCCAGCAGCCGCGGUAAUACGGGGGGAGCAAGCGUUGUUCGGAUUUACUGGGCGUAAAGGGCGCGUAGGCGGUCAGCACAAGUCAGUUGUGAAAUCUCCGGGCUUAACUCGGAAAGGUCAACUGAUACUGUGCGACUAGAGUGCGGAAGGGGCAACUGGAAUUCUCGGUGUAGCGGUGAAAUGCGUAGAUAUCGAGAGGAACACCUGCGGCGAAGGCGGGUUGCUGGGCCGACACUGACGCUGAGGCGCGAAAGCCAGGGGAGCGAACGGGAUUAGAUACCCCGGUAGUCCUGGCCUUAAACGAUGGAUGCUUGGUGUCUGGGGUUUUAUAGUCCCCGGGUGCCGUAGCUAACGCGUUAAGCAUCCCGCCUGGGGAGUACGGUCGCAAGACUG
rnacentral:rRNA from 1 species